AUUCAGAGUUUGAAUUCUGGCUCAGAUUGAACGCUGGCGGCAGGCUUAACACAUGCAAGUCGAGCGGAGAGAGGUAGCUUGCUACUGAUCUUAGCGGCGGACGGGUGAGUAAUGCUUAGGAAUCUGCCUAUUAGUGGGGGACAACAUUUCGAAAGGAAUGCUAAUACCGCAUACGUCCUACGGGAGAAAGCAGGGGAUCUUCGGACCUUGCGCUAAUAGAUGAGCCUAAGUCGGAUUAGCUAGUUGGUGGGGUAAAGGCCUACCAAGGCGACGAUCUGUAGCGGGUCUGAGAGGAUGAUCCGCCACACUGGGACUGAGACACGGCCCAGACUCCUACGGGAGGCAGCAGUGGGGAAUAUUGGACAAUGGGCGCAAGCCUGAUCCAGCCAUGCCGCGUGUGUGAAGAAGGCCUUAUGGUUGUAAAGCACUUUAAGCGAGGAGGAGGCUACUUUAGAUAAUACCUAGAGAUAGUGGACGUUACUCGCAGAAUAAGCACCGGCUAACUCUGUGCCAGCAGCCGCGGUAAUACAGAGGGUGCAAGCGUUAAUCGGAUUUACUGGGCGUAAAGCGCGCGUAGGCGGCUAAUUAAGUCAAAUGUGAAAUCCCCGAGCUUAACUUGGGAAUUGCAUUCGAUACUGGUUAGCUAGAGUGUGGGAGAGGAUGGUAGAAUUCCAGGUGUAGCGGUGAAAUGCGUAGAGAUCUGGAGGAAUACCGAUGGCGAAGGCAGCCAUCUGGCCUAACACUGACGCUGAGGUGCGAAAGCAUGGGGAGCAAACAGGAUUAGAUACCCUGGUAGUCCAUGCCGUAAACGAUGUCUACUAGCCGUUGGGGCCUUUGAGGCUUUAGUGGCGCAGCUAACGCGAUAAUAGACUUCCUUGUUUGCCGAGAAAUAACCCGCGCACUUUUAAAUGC
rnacentral:rRNA from 1 species